rnacentral:rRNA from 1 species
GACGGAGGGUGCAAGCGUUGUUCGGAUUUACUGGGCGUAAAGGGCGUGUAGGCGGUCGGCCAAGUCUGACGUGAAAGCCCGAGGCUCAGCCUCGGAAGUGCGUCGGAAACUAGUCGGCUGGAGCGCGAUAGAGGAGGGUGGAAUUCCUGGUGUAGCGGUGAAAUGCGUAGAUAUCAGGAGGAACACCGGCGGCGAAGGCGGCCCUCUGGAUCGUUGCUGACGCUGAGACGCGAAAGCGUGGGGAGCAAACAGG